rnacentral:rRNA from 1 species
GUUAACCAUAUAUAUUUUUGUAUUAAAUAUCACGAAAUCAGAAGAGCUAAAUUUUCAAUCAGUUUGGUUUUCUUUAAUUAAUGUUGUAAUAUUAAUUUCUUAUGGGAUUUUAGGGGUGAAAGGCCUACCAAUUCUGAGGAUAUCUUGAUUUUAAAUAAAUAUAUUUAGUAUAUCGUACAAUCUAAAAAUGGUUAGGUUUUUGGAAAACAUUAUUUUAUUUUUAUUCCCUGUAGUUUUGUUAAUCCAUACUACUAUAGUCAAGGAAAUAUAAAUUAAUUUUGAUAAUAUGGGAAUUAUUUAAAACUUCUAAUUAAUUUUCCCGAAAAUUUUUAAUGUUAACAUUAGUAUGGUAAUAAAUUUAUAAAAGGAACUCGGCAAUAGCACCCUCGACUGUUUAACAAAAACAAGCCUUAAGUUAAAAUUUAAGGUAUAACCUGCUCAAUGAUAUAUUAAAUAGCCGCAGUACCUUGACUGUGCAAAGGUAGCAUAAUCAAUUGGCUUAUAAUUGAAGUCUGGUAUGAAAGGUAAUCCGGGGGUUCGCUGUCUCCUAUAAAUUAAAAGAAAUUGCUUAGUAGGUGAAAAUACCUACAUAAUGAUAAAAGACGAGAAGACCCUAGAAAUUUUCUGUAAAUUUAAUAUAUAUACAUUUUGUUGGGGCGACAUGGUACCAAAAAACAUACCAAAUACAAUAAGAAACUUAUAAGUUGUGUAAAAAAAUUACUCUAGGGAUAACAGCAUAAUAUUAUAAAGUUUGUGACCUCGAUGUUGGACUAGGGAGAACUUUAUCUAGAAGUUAAGUUAUGGGGCUCUGUUCGAGCAACACCACCCCUACACGAUCUGAGUUCAGACCGG